rnacentral:lncRNA from 1 species
GAUAAUUCAAUUGAUCUCCAAUUUUCUUCUCACCCUCCACCCUCGACAGGCGACAGGAGAUUAGGGUUUUGUUCUUUGACCGAUAUCUCCCUUUCUACAUCCGAUUAAGAAAAGGUCUUCACUAAACCAGGUAUGUUUUCAUUUAGGAUGAUGCGGCAAAGUGUCGAAAUUUAGAUAGACAACUACGAUUUCUAAUUGACGCGCCGUCCAUACUAUGAUGUGACGAUAGAUUGGAGGGAGCAAGUAGGAGGAUUUAGGGUCAUACUUAAUAUUUCUCAACUAAUUUCAGGUGAGAUAUCAAAAAUAAAAUAUUCAUGAGAUGUGAUACUGAUCUUGAGAAAAGACAAAAAAAACUGAUAAUGGUUAUAAAUCGUGGAAUGAAAAAUUAACGGCAGAAUGAAUGAUACAAGAAUCGUUUCAUAAUAUUUUCCUUUGUAUCUGAAUAACUCUAAACCCUAAAUCAUAUGGAUUGCAGUGAAUUUUGUUCACAAAUAGUAUUAACUAUUUUUUGAACAAACCAUCAUAAAAGUAUAAAACCAGAGUUAAAAAUAGAUAAGCAUCAGAAACAUUCACAAAUAAAAAACAGUAAUAAUCCACUAAUUAACAUUUAUUUUUGAAUUCAAGAAGAAACAACCUCGACUUCCACCUCUUUUACCUCUCCUCCAUCAGCUUCAUCGCUUUCGUUAUCAUCUUCGGCCUGUCCGGCGGCGAGGAGAAUCCAAUCAGGUGGGAGAACAGGAAGAACAGGGUAGACUGUAGGACCUCGGCGGAUGUCCCAUGGUUGGGACUUCUUUGGCCUGGUUUUCCUGUGAUGUGCAGUGCUUUUCUUCUGUGGUCUAGAAGAGCAUUCCACUACCAAUCCAGUUUUCCCAAAACCCAUCAUAACCCUUUCGACUCCUACUCCACCUCCGCUCACCGCCAAAUUAGGAAGCCGGAGAUCCGCCGUCGAAGGAAGAAAUCCGGUUACCAACAUCGUUGGAAUCGACAUUUUCUUCUUCUGUGUUUACUGGCGUGUGUGUGUGUGCUCCCUCUUAUCUUGCUUGGGCUUGUGGGAUGAGGUGUUCCCGUGCAACGCGGCAUUUCCUAUCAAUAUCCGGUUCUUACUAUAAAGAAUUUUUUUAUACACAAAAAUCUAAAAUUAGAGUAAUAAUAUAAAACUAUAAAAGUAUAAAACUAGUUGUUUUAGAUAAUUACUUAUACACCCAAAGAGAGAAUAAAAGAAUUCAAAUAGAGUGCAAACUUAUAGUGAACACCAUUAACAUUGGAUGGGCUCCAGAAUCACCCCAUCUCAAUGUAAAGUAGAUAGAGGAUUCUGGAGCUUGUUAUUAUUAAUAGUGUUCAUUAGAAGCAGAUCUCAAAUAAAUUAUUCAAUUUCAUGAAUCCAUCCCACUAGACUAUGUUUAACAGGCACUUUCCUUGUUUUUGAAGCUCAAAUAACACAUUCAAACAAGCUGAAUCUUGUGAAAUCUUCUUAUCAGCACAGGGUUCUCCCACAAGAGUGAUGAUGGUAGAGCCUGGUAUACACAAGGUUAUAGUUGACACAAAGGAGUUGUAACCGGUGCGUGUUUCGGAAUAAGG